rnacentral:lncRNA from 1 species
CACCUCUUAGUAAUCUCAAUGAUUGGAAAGAUGUGUAAAAAUACAAAAAACCCACCAGAUAGAAUGCUACAUAGAAGAAAAUGACUUUUGGUAACAGAUGGCACCACUUUCCACUCAGACAAAGUACUAAGUGGCAGCAAAACAAAUUCCCUCUCAGUUGUCCAUUACUGCGGAGGGGUCAGCCUGUAGAGGACAGGGAUCGCCUGCUCGGACCUAAUGAUGACUAUUUUCAAGAGAUGGGACUGAGAAUCGAACCCGGAUACUCUAGAAUGGAAAGCCGAAGAGUUUCCUCGCAACCAAUAAUGGCAUAAUAAAAAAAC